GAUUUCAACUAAAAAAGUCAUCAACAACAAAGUUGUAUAACUCAUCAAGAUCUAUAACUUUUAUUUUUGUUAUUUCUUCAUCUGACAAAGUGUUAAUAACAUUGUUCACAAAAUUGACAUAUAUGUGUUAUAGUUUAUAAAACCAAAUGAGAGGUAUGUGAAUUUUAUGAACAAUAUUACCAUCACUUUGUCGGAUGAAGAAAUAACCAAAAUAAAAGUUAUAGAUCUUGAUGAGUUAUACAACUUUGUUGUUCAUGACUUUUUCAGUUGAAAUC
rfam:Oryza nivara chromosome 12, whole genome shotgun sequence.